rnacentral:misc_RNA from 1 species
UAUGCUCAAUACUACUCAAAAUCUUCCGGUUGUGUCUUACCAUAUGUAAUAAAAAAAACACGGAAUAUGUGGGGUUUAUAUUUUGUGUUCUUUAUUACAUAUGGGACACUCCUAAAGAGACCUCUCAAAGUCAUUUUCUAAAACGCUUUCCUCGUUUACCUUGUCUUAAUAUCUGGAAAACGAUCCACCUUAGUGGGCAAGGGAAAUA